rnacentral:rRNA from 1 species
ACGAACGCUGGCGGCGUGCCUAAUACAUGCAAGUCGAACGGUCUUUCUAUGGAAGCUUGCUUCCACUGAGAAGAUAGUGGCGAACGGGUGAGUAACACGUGGGUAACCUGCCCAUAAGAGGGGGGAUAACAUCCGGAAACGGGUGCUAAUACCGCAUAGUUUUCUUGAUCGCAUGAUUGAGAAAGGAAAGACGGCCUUUGUGCUGUCGCUUAUGGAUGGACCCGCGGCGUAUUAGUUAGUUGGUGAGGUAACGGCUCACCAAGACGAUGAUACGUAGCCGACCUGAGAGGGUGAUCGGCCACAUUGGGACUGAGACACGGCCCAAACUCCUACGGGAGGCAGCAGUAGGGAAUCUUCCGCAAUGGACGAAAGUCUGACGGAGCAACGCCGCGUGAGUGAAGAAAAGGUUUUCGGAUCGUAAAACCCUGUUGUCAGAGAAGAACAAGUUGGAGAGUAACUGCUCCAGCCUUGACGGUAUCUGACCAGAAAGCCACGGCUAACUACGUGCCAGCAGCAGC